CCGAGUGACAGGCAUUGCUGCCUCGAUGUCUCUCUCUCUCUCUCCUAUGGGCACUGCGUCUGCCUACAUUAACCAUAAUCCUCUUCUGCUUACGUCACUUAUCCGGAUGUGAUGGUGACCCUGUUGUAUGCAUCUGUUUAACCUCUUCCUGUCUCAGCUCCCGCCCUCAGCCUAUAAAAGGUGUGAUUAUUUUCUGACUAAACCGGAGGCUUGAUUGGGUUACAUCAACUUGCCUUCGUCUCUUUUUGUCUCCCCCAUGUCUUUUAUUUAAUCCCCGUUUCUCCUCCAGGAGUUCCGAACUUGUUGAUCUGCAGGCCGGAUCAACCAAGUCCGCUAAGCCUCGCUCAAAAGAUUUUACAUUGGGUGAGCUAACCGCACCGGCCGACUGCGGAGAAGCCCGGCUAAUCAAGUUUGCGUGACGUCACUCCGAAGGCCCGGGAUUGGUGCUCGCGUGUAACUGAGGGGCUGGGAAUGGUGGGGGCGCUGCUGAGGCGGAAGUGGGAGGCUGGGUGUAGUUCGCCUGAGGCUUGUCUACCUCCCAUUCAUCUUGCGGGUGCCUUUGGCACCCUCGGGUAGGCUUGGGUAAGAGAGUGAUGGCGGCAACCUGUUCUUCCUCCUCUGCCAUGUCCGUCUCUCCAAGCCGUCCCUACAAAGCCCGCAGGCUUCGGUCACUGCCUCCUGCUCCCAAAGACCUGGAAAGGCUGUGACAGCUGCCGGCCCUAACGUCAGUGACUGCAUCAUGUGAUGCACACAUGCAGGACCCGCCUAGCCUUUAGCCGGCACGACGCAUUCAGAACCGAACUCGCUGCAACCUUUGCUUCUCUGCCUGCCUCUGAAAUUCCCAGGCUGUGGUUUGAGCUGAAAAAGCCCCUGCAUUGAGGAAAAGGGGACUGAGGCCCCGACAGGCAGAGGCUCGUCCUUGGGCACCCAGUAGGCCAUUUUCCUUUGGAAAUCAACACAAAAUGAAGCCACAGAAGCAAAAGAAAUCAUUUAACAGGAAAAGGAGGCAGGAACUUCCCAGGGGCAUUUCCAAGUCUGCUGUGCUCCACUGACGUUUAAGUCACAGCUGAACCCGGCACGACCAGCGCCAAAAUCAUGAAGCUCCUCCGGGAGCUCAGCUACCAUCAAUUUAACAAUCAGCUUAGCUGUUAACCCAUAGAUGUCCAGCCUCAUCCCAGGAGGUGGUCUCCGCUCUCCUAAGUAUGACUACACUCUAAUUAUGUGAUAAGAACAUAAUUAUGAGAACAGGAUGAUACCUAAUGCAUACCGACUGCACAACAUAUAUUAAGAAUAAGAAAGGUAAUUCAGUGCUUGUGGUUGAUGAGAAGAAAGAAAAUGGGUUAAUAUUAAGAGAAAAUAUUACCUUGUUCCUUUUUAGAAUGACUUAUCUUUCAACUAAGGUGUUUGCUUGUGGUUGAUUUACAGCCUAAAGUCUGGGCUAUCUUUUUUUUUUUUUUUUUCUGUCUUUUUCCUUUUUUAUCGGUACCGGGGAUCGAACUCACGACUGCCUGCUUUCAAGGCAGGUGCUUAUGCCGCUGAGCUAAACCCCCAGCCCCAAGUCUGGGCUAUCUUAAUCCACCUAAAGAUAAAGUGCUCUGUCCUCUCCUGAAAAGUUGGGAUAAGUUCUUAGCACUUGAGCUGGAGGACGUUUGAAGGACACCAGAAUGGCUGGCAGUUUAUUCCCUCCAGUCAGACCAUGCACUGGGCCCUGGCCACAGAGAUAAAUGAAACCCAGCAGUUGCUUUCCAGGAAAUCUCAGCUUAAUUGGGAAGCAAAUAAAAGGGAUAACACCAGAAUCUAAGCCCAGAAAGGAUGAAGAGCUUCGUGAUGGAAGGGACAAUCAGGAAAGGCCUUCCAGAGGAGGUGGCACAUAGAUCUAAUAUUAGACGGCAAGAAGAAGGCAUAUCUGAAAAAAGCAAGAAAAGACUGGUUGGCCGAGGAAAAACCAGGAACAAAGAUACAGAGUUACUGGCUGCAGUGGCUCACACCUGCAGUCCCAGUUACGGAGCAGGCCAGCGCAGGAGAAUUGAAAAGUCCAGGCCAGCCUAGACAAUUCGGUGAAAGCCUGUCUCCAAAUAAAAACUAGAAGGGAUUGGGGAUACAGUUCAGUGGUAGAGUGCCCCGGGGUUUGAUUCUCAGUGCUGCAAACAAACAAAUACAUAGAACUAUGAAAUAAUAUGUAGGAGCCCACUUCUGCAGCGCUAGCGCAGAGCUGGAGGAUAUGGAGUGAAAGUUUUGAUAACCACGGUACAGACAGAGGCCAAGUGGGCGAGUGGCUGAAUUACCUAAACGAUGAUCUGGCCCUUGUCCUAUAAGAAAUGUGAUACCUAAACAGGACUAUAAUAUGGUUUAGAAAGAUAAUUUUGGCAAAGGCAGGAAGAAUGAAAGUUUGAAGUUGGCCUGGACAAUUUAAUGAAAAACCAGUCUCAAAAUAAAAGUUUGCGGAUAUAAGGACAACGAAGGAAAGUAUUCUCUAGUACUCAGGGAAGAAAAACCUGUUCCUAGCAUUAUUCACACUAGCCCAAAAAAACAUAUAAAUGAAUGUCUAUCAGCUGGUGAACUGAUGAGUAAAAUGUGGUAUAUCCAUGCAAUAGAAUAUUAUUCAGCCACGAAAGGAAUUCAGUCCUGAUACAUGCUGCGACAUGGAUGAGCCUUGAAAACAACACUAAAUAGAAAAAACCACACACAAAAGGCCAUAUAUUUGUGCUGCAUGUCCAAAAUAUGUAAUCUACAGAGCUGGAAUGUAAAUUAGGGCUGGGGAUAUAGCUCAACAGACACAAGUGCCUGCUUGGCAAGCACAGAGUCUUGAGUUCAAUUCCUGGUACCAAAAACAAAACAAAAUAGAAUGUAGAUUAGUGGUUGCCAGGGAGUAGAAUGCUGGCAAAAAUAGAGACCGAAGUUAGACCUGAGUUUCUGAAAUUGGUGGUGAUGGUGUCACUCGGCUGGGUGUGAGAGGCUGAAAUAAGGAACCUGUCUCACCCUUUUAAGAGCCUAAAUUUACAGGUUUAUUGCAAAGUGACUUCUGAAAAUUUUUAAAAAGUGAGGUUCUUUUUUUUUUUUUGGAAAGGAAAAAGGCUUGAUUAAGUGUCCUGAGGGCUGGGGAUUUAGUUCAGUGGUGUAAGCACCUGCCUGCUGAUCCCCGGUACCAAAAAACAAUCGAAAAGUUCGAUUUUCUUUACCUUGUUUUUAUUUCUCUUACCUUACCUCAUUUCUACCCCUCAGACUGUGGUCCUUUUUUUUUUUUCUUUUGGUCCCUUAUUUUUAAGGGGUUGCAGAAGGCCUAAUGGCCUGACUUUUUAUGCAACUGCUUCAUGGGUAAGCAGGGGCAUUGAUCCUGCCUCACUAGACACUGAAAAUCUCAUCUUUACAAUCUAUGAGAGGCAUAGAAAUAUCUGGUUCUGUCUUCUUGAUCUGUUCUGCCAGUCUGUUUCAUUGGAGAAUGGCAAAAGGGUUAAGAAAAUACCAAAUUGUCUGGCUUUGAUGUUAGGCUGGUAAUCAAAACUUUUUAUGGCUAUAAAUUGUAGGUGCAGCUGGCGACUACAAGCAGGGGGUGGUGCAGAACUUGCCCCCCAUUUUAAUAUUUAGCCUAGCUUUUAACUUAACAUUAUUAUUGUUAUUCUUUCUAUAUAAAAUUUGGUUUACUUUUCUAAAAGGAGGGCCACUAAAGAGAAGAAUGUUCCCAUGCUCCCAAGGAAGCUGUGUGAUCCUGGAAAAUGACACAGCUGUAUAGGAAAAACUAAGAGGCUCUGUCCAUGGCCUCAAAAGCAUUGCCUUCUUUUAGUACAACAUAGACUUACUGAUGCCUGUCCCUGGAGUUCAAAAUGUCCCAGCUUAGGAGGUGAGUGAUCUCUGGAGUUGUAGGAUCCUUUCGAGAGGUUCCCUCAUGUCCUGUGUCCUUGUUGACCUUAGAGGCCCAGGACCAAAAUAUUGGCUGUCUUUUUAGCCCAGGUAUCUUUUCUAGCUUUGGUCAUCAAGCCUUACUUGUUGAACACCCAGAAGGUCAGUUAUACCAGUAUUGAAGUGAGAGUAGUAGGCUUAACUAUCGUGAUCUCAUGUGGACAUCAGACACUUUGAAAUAUGAAGGACAUCCAAAAAAAACCCUGCUACUUUUCCAAAUUAAUCAUGAUUGUCUUAGAAGUCAAAUUCCUAUAGAAUGUCUUUGUUUCUUUUGAGACAGGGUCUCACUUUGUAGUGCAGGCUGCCCUUGAGCUCAUUAUAUAGUCCAGAUGGGCCUUAAACUCACAUCAAUGAGAUCAUGCCUCAGCCUUCGGAGUGCUGGGAUGUACACAUGCCACAGAGAUGGAUUCCUAAAACAGAUUCAAACAGAUAUCCACAAGAUUAAAAAUUCCCUUGAAAGUAUGAGCCAAUGUGAGGACAGAAUAUCAUAUAUAGAAGACAGAAUUACAGUUAGCAAUCAUAAAAUGUUUUUAAAAUAGCAAAAGAUCAUGAAAAAUCAAUCCAACAGCUACCGGAUAAUGCAAAGAAGGAUAGCACAAGGUGGUCAGGGUCAGUGAAAAAGCAAGAGAGAGCACAAAUGACCUGUUUGUCAAGCAAGCAACUUUCCAGGCAGGGAAAAAGAAUUUGACAUACACAUAAGUGAUAUAUACAGACUCCAACUUGUGAUAAUAAAAAAAUCUAUACCAAGGCAUAUUGUAGUCAAGAUUCUAGAAAUUCAAUACAAGAACUGAGUAUUAAAAGCUGUUAGAGUUGUGCAUGGUGGCACAUGCCUGUAGUUCCAGCACUCAAGAGGCUGAGCCUGGAGGAUGACUGUGAAUUCAGGGCCAAGCUGGGCUACACAAUGAGACCUUGUCCAUAAAUAAAUAAAUAAAUAAAUAAACAAACAAACACUGUUAGAGGAAAUAAAUAAAUCAUCUAUAAAGGAAAAAUCAGAAUCAUAGCAGACUUUUCAACACAAACCCUCAAGUCAAGGAGAGCUUGAGUAAAGUAUUUCAAAUUUUGAAAAAAACAACUUCCAACCUAGACUGAUGUACCACACAAAACUAUCUUUCAAAAUUAAUGGAGAAAUAAGAUACUUCCAUGGCAAAGAACACCUGAAGAAAUUCAUGACCACCGAACUAGUGCUCCACAAUGUCCUAAAAGAGAUGAUACGGACUACAACUUCAUGAAUCCCAACAGAAUGAAUCCACCUGGCAAGGCAAACAACUAAACAGAGGGGAAAAAAAUGAAGCCAACAAGAGGAAAAUAACAUGACAAACAUAGUCAAUACAUGUCAGUUAUAACCAUCAGUAAAUAGUUUCAAUUCACCAAUCAAAAGAAACAGAAUGGCAGGAUGCAUCAGGAAGUAAGAGCCAACAAUAUGCUGCAUACAAGAAAUACAUUUAAUUCAAAAAGAAAUUCAUAGACUGAAAGUCAAAAGAAGGGAAACAGUACUCCACAGGACAGAAAAAUGGAAAAAACCAAGCGUAGCUAUUUUAUUCAAAGACAAAGUGGAUUUCAAGCCAAGACUGAUUAAGAGAGACAAAACAGGUCACUACAUCCUUGUAAAGGGAACAAUUCAAGAGGAAGAGAUAACAACCAUAAAAUAUAUGCAACAAAUAGCAGCAGACUCAACUGUUAAACAUUAAACAUGUUAAUGGACAAUGAAAAAUUAAAUAAAUAUAAUUAUAAUGUGAGAUGCUGAUACUUUGCUGUUACAAACAGACACAUCAACGUGGCAAAAAAUCAACAAAGAAUUGUCAGAACUGAACCAAACUUCUGAACAAAUGUACUUAGUAAAUGUCCACCCCACAACAUCAGAAUAUACAUUCUUCAACAGCAUGUGGGAUGUUCUCCAAAAUAGAACACAUACUAACUUAUAGAACAUGCUUAAGUAAAUGCCAGAAAUGAGACCAAAGUGCAGUGAAAUUGGAAAUCAAUGACAAAGAAACCACAAGAACUUCAUACACACACACAAAUCAAAUAACACCUUACUGAACAACUACUGAGCCAAAGAUGAAAUUAAAGAAGAAAUUAAACAGUAUCUACAAUUAAAUGAUAAUGCUAAUACCACAUACAGAACUUAUGGGACACAAUGAAAGGAGUUCUAUGAGGGAAAUUUAUAGCAGUGAAUUUGCAUAUCAGAAAAAAAGAGUGAGGGGAGUCCGGGAAGAUGACAAAUGUAAGCAGCAGAGAAAGUGCCUCUCUGAGAGCUGCCAUCCACAUGCUGGAAAAGAGCAAUGUGACGAAGACAUGAGGGAGGGAGGCGGGUUUCCUGGACCCAGAAAGAAUCUGAAGUGGGGACUGAAGCCCAUGGAGAGAGUAAAGAGAGAAACUUUUAGGAAGAAGGAUAUAGCCAGUGGUGCCUUCUCCCUGAGAUGGGACCCACUGCAUGACAAGAGAGGUUCAAACUGUGGAUGCAUGGCCACGGUGAUGGUGAUGGCUGGUGACCCCGGAAGCCUCUGCAGAGAAACACAGAGUGGAGGGAAGCCGUGGAUGUGAAGGACUACAUUGACUGGGGGUGAGUGCAGGGGUCUUGCUCUUGCUGUGGGAGAAAACAACUGACCUGGAGCCACCUUGGAGAUGGGCCUGAGAUCAGAACACAGAACUGCAGCUAGAUCCCUCUGGUGGCUGCCAGUACGGCCCAAGCCUGUGGAAGGUGCUUGGAAGAAGGUCAGCCAAAUGUGACUGACUAGUCACGAUCAGGAAGUGCAGGCCGACCGAGAGUAUACACUACCCCACCAAAAAGCUACUUCUGGCUUGCUGGGAUUGAUUGACACAAAUCAGGACUCUGUCUCCACAGGUUGUCUGCCAGUGAAAGCAGAGACAAACCAAACCUGGACAAACCUGGAAGCAGACUUUUUUUUGUUUUCUUCCCUUUCUCUCACAUUUGUCUUUGGUUUUUAGUUUUUGAGUUUUUUUCUUAUCUUUAUUUCUCCUUCAUUGUUUGAUCUUAUUUUUAUAUAAGUAUAAACAUGGUUUCUCCCCUC